rnacentral:rRNA from 1 species
GAUGAACGCUAGCGGCAGGCCUAAUACAUGCAAGUCGAGGGGUAGAAGAGGCUUGCUUCUUUGAGACCGGCGCACGGGUGCGUAACGCGUAUGCAACCUACCUUCAUCUGGGGGAUAGCCCGGAGAAAUCCGGAUUAAUACCGCAUAAAAUCACAGGAUGGCAUUAUCCAAUGAUCAAACAUUUAUGGGAUGGAGAUGGGCAUGCGUGUGAUUAGCUAGUUGGCGGGGUAACGGCACACCAAGGCGACGAUGACUAGGGGAUCUGAGAGGAUGGAGCCCCACACUGGUACUGAGACACGGACCAGACUCCUACGGGAGGCAGCAGUAAGGAAUAUUGGUAAAUGGAGGCAACUCUGAACCAGCCAUGCCGCGUGCAGGAAGACUGCCCUAUGGGUUGUAAACUGCUUUUAUUCGGGAAUAAACCUUAUUACGUGUAAUAAGCUGAAUGUACCGAAGGAAUAAGGAUCGGCUAACUCCGUGCCAGCCGCCGCAGUAAUAC